UACGUAGGGUGCGAGCGUUGUCCGGAAUUAUUGGGCGUAAAGGGCUCGUAGGCGGUUUGUCGCGUCGGGAGUGAAAACCAGGUGCUUAACACCUGGCUUGCUUUCGAUACGGGCGGACUAGAGGUAUUCAGGGGAGAACGGAAUUCCUGGUGUAGCGGUGGAAUGCGCAGAUAUCAGGAGGAACACCGGUGGCGAAGGCGGUUCUCUGGGAAUGACCUGACGCUGAGGAGCGAAAGUGUGGGGAGCGAACAGG
rnacentral:rRNA from 1 species